GCCGGGAUGGUGGAGUGGUCUAACACGUGCGACUCAAGAUAAUUCUUGAUCCCUCAAAAGGAUUUCGCAUCUCGAAAGAGGCGUGAGUUCGAAUCUCACUUCCGGCA